rnacentral:tRNA from 1 species
GGGCCCGUGGUCUAGCGGUUAUGACGUCUCCUUGACGUGGAGGAAGUCCCCAGUUCAAAUCUGGGCGGGCCCA